GUGAAGAGACACGACAUUUCAACUGAUGUUCCAUGGGCGACCUACUGGUGAUGUGGACCUGACCCUCCGCCAUGUAGCAGACAACCCCCCCUCAGGUCUUCCGGUGUAUCCUUCCUAAGUGGCGUGGAUGUGAAGAGACACAGUUCCCCUGAUGUUCCCUGGGCAAUCUACUUACGUACAAUUCAACUGCAUUACAAAUUUUAAUAAAAACCACAGGAAACUUCUAUUUUUAAAAGUUUAUUGAAGAAAAAUGUUAUUUUUUAAAUAAAGUUUGAAAGUUAAUUAAAACAAAAAA